rnacentral:rRNA from 1 species
UAUGGCGACCGGCGCACGGGUGGGUAACACGUAUCCAACCUGCCGAUGACUCGGGGAUAGCCUUUCGAAAGAAAGAUUAAUACCCGAUGGCAUAGUUCUUCCGCAUGGUAGAACUAUUAAAGAAUUUCGGUCAUCGAUGGGGAUGCGUUCCAUUAGGUUGUUGGCGGGGUAACGGCCCACCAAGCCUUCGAUGGAUAGGGGUUCUGAGAGGAAGGUCCCCCACAUUGGAACUGAGACACGGUCCAA